rnacentral:rRNA from 1 species
GAUGAACGCUGGCGGCGUGCCUAAUACAUGCAAGUCGAGCGGUAAGGCCCUUCGGGGUACACGAGCGGCAGACGGGUGAGUAACGCGUAAGAAUCUACCCCAAACUGAGGGAUAAGCACCAGAAAUGGUGUCUAAUACCGCAUGUGCUCUACGGAGUAAAGCUACGGCGGUUUGGGAAGAGCUUGCGUAUGAUUAGCUAGUUGGUAAGGUAAUGGCUUACCAAGGCGACGAUCAUUAGCUGGUCUGAGAGGAUGAUCAGCCACACUGAGACUGAGACACGGCCCAGACUCCUACGGGAGGCAGCAGUAGGGAAUUUUCCACAAUGGGGGCAACCCUGAUGGAGCAACGCCGCGUGCAGGAUGAAGGCCUUCGGGUUGUAAACUGCUUUUGUCUGUGACGAAUAUGACGGUAGCAGACGAAUAAGGAUCGGCUAACUACGUGCCAGCAGCCGCCGUAA